CUCUCUCUUCCUUGGUUUUCUUCCUCAUCCCUGUCUCUCUUUCCCCUGCUCAAACCGAAAGGCCGCUCGCUCUCUCUCUCUGGCUCUUGCUCCCUGUCUCUCUCUUUCCUCUACUCGCUGAAAGAAACCCAAAGGCCCCUCAUCUUCCCUAUCCAAAGGCCCCUCAUCUUCCCUAUCCAAAGGCCGCUUGUCUUGUGCCUCUCGCUCGCUCAGAAAAAUCCAAAGGCCACUCGCUCGACCCCAGUGUGGCCUCCCCACCCCGUCUCUCAUUUUCCCCUGUUGUUAAAGAAUCCCCCAAAGGCCACUCACUCUCUCUCUGCCUCUCGCUCACUCGAUUCCUAACUGGCCUCCCAACUGCUACUCACCCCAUCUCUAAAGUGAGACAAGUUAUUUGCCAAAGCAAGCGUCAUUAUUGUAAGUGGCACAUAUUUGUGAAGAUCAAAGAAAAAAAUGUGUUGUCUUGUGUGUACAUCGUUCUUAUUCAGAUACCUUUAGGAGGUGUGUGGUUAGCCCAACAAUUGAAGAAUUUGAAUCGGGAUGAAAAUCAAUGAUUGAUAAUUAUAAGCUAAAAGACAAUGAAUGGCUUAGUAAGCUUUAUGGUUGUCGCAUGCAAUGGGUUGAUGCAUACUUGGCGGGCACGUUCACGGUAUGACCUCUAUUCAAAAGAGUGAAGGGAUGAAUACAUACUUCAAAAUGUACUUGACACCCACAACAAGCUUGCGUACAUUAUUAGAAGUUGUUGCAAAAGUCCAAUAUAAGAAUAUGCAAAAAGAGAGAAAAAAUGACUUGAAAGAUAUUCAAACCACUCCAGUCUUGCGAACAACUACUUUCAUUGAGUCACAUGCAUAAAAAAUCUAUACUCAAAAGAUUUUAAAGAUAUUUGAGGAAGAGGUGGCUAAUUACUUUAAUUUUACGAGGGAGACAGUUGAAGACAAUGGACAGGUUGUUACCUUUAAGGUGGCAGUCCCGGGGACUGGAUCUAGACCAUAUUUAGUGAAACUCAAUUGCCAUUACAAUUCUGUUUCUUGUAGUUGUCACUUCUUUGAGAGGAUGGGCCUUCUUUGCAAGCAUGUACUGAAUAUUUUUAUGGUGAAAGACAGGUUUGAAAUCCCUCCCCAAUAUAUAAUGAGGCGUUGGACCAAGGAUGUAAGCAAGGGAAUUUUUCUUAAUGACAUUGGGGAACAAGUUCAAGUAACAUCAGAACUACUGCACUCCAGUAGAUAUAAUGAGGCUAUGCAGGCAAGUCGAUCCCUUGCCGAGCAUGCUUCACAAAGUGUAGAGGGCCAUGAGUUUGUAAUUUUCAUAAUACAAAAUGGAAUUCGUCAGUUUGAUGAAAAGUUUGUGUGCAAGAGAGGUCCAAAGGAUAAUGCCAAGGGCUAUGUCAAUGAAGAUAAUAAUUCUGCUAGUUGUAGUAACACACCAAGUAAAAGUAACCAUUGUUGAAAUGUCCUUGAACCUGCACGAGCACGGACAAAGGGACGACCAACUGCUCAAAGAAUGAAAGCUCGUUAUGAGGGAUGGAAGCUAAAGACCAAAAAAAAGGAAAUGCACAGUCUGCAAUGGUAGGGGACAUGACAAAAGGAACUGUGCGCCGUUCGUUUGUGAUAGGGCUAAGGACAAAACACGUCAUAAACAUUGGACCCAUAAGAAGGCAGUAGAUGUGUGUUGAUGGUAAGAAGCAAUUGUUUGGAAGGCAUGUUUACAGAGCGGACAAAUUCAUCUGGAACAACUUCAAAAGAGGGGCUAUGUUGUUUCUUUUUUUUUGUGAAAAUUUUGUUGUUAAACUAUUGGCAUUAUUGAUGUAGGUUGUAUGCAA